GACGAACGCUGGCGGCGUGCCUAAUACAUGCAAGUAGAACGCUGAGGAGAGGAGCUUGCUCUUCUUGGAUGAGUUGCGAACGGGUGAGUAACGCGUAGGUAACCUGCCUUGUAGCGGGGGAUAACUAUUGGAAACGAUAGCUAAUACCGCAUAACAAUGGAUGACACAUGUCAUUUAUUUGAAAGGGGCAAUUGCUCCACUACAAGAUGGACCUGCGUUGUAUUAGCUAGUAGGUGAGGUAAUGGCUCACCUAGGCGACGAUACAUAGCCGACCUGAGAGGGUGAUCGGCCACACUGGGACUGAGACACGGCCCAGACUCCUACGGGAGGCAGCAGUAGGGAAUCUUCGGCAAUGGGGGCAACCCUGACCGAGCAACGCCGCGUGAGUGAAGAAGGUUUUCGGAUCGUAAAGCUCUGUUGUAAGUCAAGAACGGGUGUGAGAGUGGAAAGUUCACACUGUGACGGUAGCUUACCAGAUAGGGACGGCUAACUACGUG
rnacentral:rRNA from 1 species